rnacentral:rRNA from 1 species
UCGACGGACUCAUAUUGAAACCUAGUGAUUUAUGAGUUAGUGGCGGACGGGUGAGUAACGCGUGGAAAACCUGCCGUAUACCGGGGGAUAACACUUAGAAAUAGGUGCUAAUACCGCAUAAGCGCACAGCUUCGCAUGAAGCAGUGUGAAAAACUCCGGUGGUAUAUGAUGGUUCCGCGUCUGAUUAGCUAGUUGGCGGGGUAACGGCCCACCAAGGCAGCGAUCAGUAGCCGGCCUGAGAGGGUGAACGGCCACAUUGGGACUGAGACACGGCCCAAACUCCUACGGGAGGCAGCAGUGGGGAAUAUUGCACAAUGGGGGAAACCCUGAUGCAGCAACGCCGCGUGGGUGAAGGAGCGUUUCGGCGCGUAAAGCCCUGUCAGCGGGGAAGAAGAAAGACGGUACCCGACCAAGAAGCCCCGGCUAACUACGUGCCAGCAGCCGCGGUAAUACGUAGGGGGCGAGCGUUAUCCGGAAUUACUGGGUGUAAAGGGAGCGUAGACGGCGAGGUAAGCCUGAAGUGGAAGCCCGCGGCCCAACCGCAGAACUGCUUUGGGAACUGUUUUGCUGGAGUAUGGGAGGGGUAAGCGGAAUCCCUGGUGUAGCGGUGAAAUGCGUAGAUAUCAGGAGGAACACCGGUGGCGAAGGCGGCUUACUGGACCAUAACUGACGUUGAGGCUCGAAAGCGUGGGGAGCGAACAGGAUUAGAUACCCUGGUAGUCCACGCCGUANACGAUGAUUACCAGGUGUCGGGUGUCNAAGGACGGCCGGUGCCGCAGCGAACGCAGUAAGUAAUCCACCUGGGGAGUACGUUCGCAAGAAU